rnacentral:rRNA from 1 species
UAGGGAAUCUUCGGCAAUGGACGGAAGUCUGACCGAGCAACGCCGCGUGAGUGAAGAAGGUUUUCGGAUCGUAAAGCUCUGUUGUUAGAGAAGAACGUUGGUAGGAGUGGAAAAUCUACCAAGUGACGGUAACUAACCAGAAAGGGACGGCUAACUACGUGCCAGCAGCCGCGGUAAUACGUAGGUCCCGAGCGUUGUCCGGAUUUAUUGGGCGUAAAGCGCGCGCAGGCGGUUCUUUAAGUCUGAAGUUAAAGGCAGUGGCUUAACCAUUGUACGGUUUGGAAACUGGAGGAAUUGAGUGCAGAAGGGGAGAGGGGAAUUCCAUGUGUAGCGGUGAAAUGCGUAGAUAUAUGGAGGAACACCGGUGGCGAAAGCGGCUCUCUGGUCUGUAACUGACGCUGAGGCUCGAAAGCGUGGGGAGCAAACAGG